ACUUCUCAACUCCUCACGGCUUGCCCGUGAUGAGCUUGGACUUUGGGGGUCUUGCCGGCCUGCGGGUCGGCUCCUCUCAAAUGGAUCAGCUUGCCGGUGUUUGGCGGCGUCACAGGUGUGAUAACUAUCUACGCUUGUGGUUUUCCGCCAGGUAACCUCCAGCGAUGGGGGUUCACUGGAGCUCACAAAUGUCUCUCCUCGGUGAGGACGGCUCUUUGAAC
rnacentral:misc_RNA from 1 species